GAGUUUGAUCCUGGCUCAGGAUGAACGCUGGCGGCGUGCUUAACACAUGCAAGUCGAGCGAUGAAGUUUCCUUCGGGAAAUGGAUUAGCGGCGGACGGGUGAGUAACACGUAGGUAACCUGCCUCAUAGAGUGGAAUAGCCUUCCGAAAGGAAGAUUAAUACCGCAUAAUGUUGAAAGAUGGCAUCAUCAUUUAACCAAAGGAGCAAUCCGCUAUGAGAUGGACCCGCGGCGCAUUAGCUAGUUGGUGGGGUAACGGCCUACCAAGGCGACGAUGCGUAGCCGACCUGAGAGGGUGAUCGGCCACAUUGGGACUGAGACACGGCCCAGACUUCUACGGGAGGCAGCAGUGGGGAAUAUCGCACAAUGGGGGGAACCCUGAUGCAGCAACGCCGCGUGAGUGAUGAAGGUUUUCGGAUCGUAAAGCUCUGUCUUUGGGGAAGAUAAUGACGGUACCCAAGGAGGAAGCCACGGCUAACUACGUGCCAGCAGCCGCGGUAAUACGUAGGUGGCGAGCGUUAUCCGGAUUUACUGGGCGUAAAGGGAGCGUAGGCGGAUGAUUAAGUGGGAUGUGAAAUACCCGGGCUCAACUUGGGUGCUGCAUUCCAAACUGGUUAUCUAGAGUGCAGGAGAGGAGAGUGGAAUUCCUAGUGUAGCGGUGAAAUGCGUAGA
rnacentral:rRNA from 1 species